AACCUACGGGACGCAGCAGUAGGGAAUCUUCCACAAUGGACGAAAGUCUGAUGGAACAACGCCGCGUGAGUGAAGAAGGGUUUCGGCUCGUAAAGCUCUGUUGAUAGUGAAGAAAGAUAGAGGUAGUAACUGGCCUUUAUUUGACGGUAAUUACUUAGAAAGUCACGGCUGACUACGUGCCAGCAGCCGCGGUAAUACGUAGGUGGCAAGCGUUGUCCGGAUUUAUUGGGCGUAAAGCGAGUGCAGGCGGUUCAGUAAGUGUGAUGUG
rnacentral:rRNA from 1 species